GUUAAGCGACUAAGCGUACACGGUGGAUGCCCUGGCAGUCAGAGGCGAUGAAGGACGUGCUAAUCUGCGAUAAGCGUCGGUAAGGUGAUAUGAACCGUUAUAACCGGCGAUUUCCGAAUGGGGAAACCCAGUGUGUUUCGACACACUAUCAUUAACUGAAUCCAUAGGUUAAUGAGGCGAACCGGGGGAACUGAAACAUCUAAGUACCCCGAGGAAAAGAAAUCAACCGAGAUUCCCCCAGUAGCGGCGAGCGAACGGGGAGCAGCCCAGAGCCUGAAUCAGUGUGUGUGUUAGUGGAAGCGUCUGGAAAGGCGCGCGAUACAGGGUGACAGCCCCGUACACAAAAAUGCACAUGCUGUGAGCUCGAUGAGUAGGGCGGGACACGUGGUAUCCUGUCUGAAUAUGGGGGGACCAUCCUCCAAGGCUAAAUACUCCUGACUGACCGAUAGUGAACCAGUACCGUGAGGGAAAGGCGAAAAGAACCCCGGCGAGGGGAGUGAAAAAGAACCUGAAACCGUGUACGUACAAGCAGUGGGAGCACGCUUAGGCGUGUGACUGCGUACCUUUUGUAUAAUGGGUCAGCGACUUAUAUUCUGUAGCAAGGUUAACCGAAUAGGGGAGCCGAAGGGAAACCGAGUCUUAACUGGGCGUUAAGUUGCAGGGUAUAGACCCGAAACCCGGUGAUCUAGCCAUGGGCAGGUUGAAGGUUGGGUAACACUAACUGGAGGACCGAACCGACUAAUGUUGAAAAAUUAGCGGAUGACUUGUGGCUGGGGGUGAAAGGCCAAUCAAACCGGGAGAUAGCUGGUUCUCCCCGAAAGCUAUUUAGGUAGCGCCUCGUGAAUUCAUCUCCGGGGGUAGAGCACUGUUUCGGCAAGGGGGUCAUCCCGACUUACCAACCCGAUGCAAACUGCGAAUACCGGAGAAUGUUAUCACGGGAGACACACGGCGGGUGCUAACGUCCGUCGUGAAGAGGGAAACAACCCAGACCGCCAGCUAAGGUCCCAAAGUCAUGGUUAAGUGGGAAACGAUGUGGGAAGGCCCAGACAGCCAGGAUGUUGGCUUAGAAGCAGCCAUCAUUUAAAGAAAGCGUAAUAGCUCACUGGUCGAGUCGGCCUGCGCGGAAGAUGUAACGGGGCUAAACCAUGCACCGAAGCUGCGGCAGCGACGCUUAUGCGUUGUUGGGUAGGGGAGCGUUCUGUAAGCCUGCGAAGGUGUGCUGUGAGGCAUGCUGGAGGUAU
rnacentral:rRNA from 1 species